CUGGGAAAUGUAGUAAAGAGCAGAGUCGCCAUGUGGGCCUGGGAAAAGAGGACACAUGCUGCUGGUGUCCUCGAUAAGGUGUCUCUGAGUUCAACAAUCUGAUUUGAGAGUAAAUUGAAGAGGAAGCCAAAGGGAGAACUCUCUGCCCAAUGUGCACAUCGGGGACCAGACUUGGUGGGAAGCCAAGGGAGGGCCAAUGCCAAAUUAUAUCUGAAGUAACUUCAGAAAAAAUCAUUCCAGGAACCAACAAGAGAAUGAAGUAAACAAAUAGAAAAUAUAAACAAUUUAAAAUGGGAGUAUUGGCAUUUGAAGGAACACAAGUUUCAAGAUAGGAAGAUACCAGGACAACACGAGCAGAAAGAGAGUUCAAUGAAGUCCUGCCUGACAGCAAUCCCUGGACACUCUGGAAGGAAAUUGGGCCAUAC